GACGAACGCUGGCGGCGUGCUUAACACAUGCAAGUCGAACGGAAAGGCCCUGCUUGUAGGGUACUCGAGUGGCGAACGGGUGAGUAACACACGGGUGAUUUGCCCUGCUCUUCGGGAUAAGCCUGGGAAACAGGGUCUAAUACAGGAUAGGAGCCAUUUUUAGUCUGAUGGUUGGAAAGUGUUUUGGGUGUGGGAUGAGCUCGCGGGCUGUCUGCUUGCUGGUGGGGUAAUGGCCUACCAAGGCGGCGUCGGGUAGCCGGCCUGCGUGGGUGGACGGCCACAUUGGGACCUAGGGACGGCCCAGGCUCCUACGGGAGGGAACAGGGGGGAAUAUUGCACGAUUGGCGCAAGCCUGGUGCAGCGACGCCGCGUGGGGGAUGACGGCCUUCGGGUUGUAAAAUCCUUUCGCUAGGGACGAAGCUUUUUGUGACGGUACCUAGAUAAGAAGCACCGGCUAACUACGUG
rnacentral:rRNA from 1 species